UGAUCACCGAAAACAAUCUCGGGCACCUGUGAUAAUUAGAUUGCCAGGUGAGCCCAAUUUAAGGAAAAACUACUAAAGGAGGGUGUUCCACAUUAUUAAGCAGAGCACCAUUUUCAUGCAGUAUGGGGAAGAAAAAGGAUCUUUCCGCUGCUGAAAAGAGUGAAAUAGUUCUAUGCCUUGGACGAGGUAUGAAAACAUUAGAUAUUUCACAAAAACUGAAGCGUGAUCACCGCACUAUUAAGAGAUUUGUUGCUUAUUCAGAGCACAGACGGGUUCGUGCAGAUAAAGGCACAUUGAGGAAGAUUCCUGCCAGAUCCAUGCAUCGGAUCAAGAGAGCAGCUGCUAAAAUACCAUUACAUAGCAGCAAGCAGAUAUUUGAAGCUACUAGUGCCUCUGGAGUCCCACAGACAUAAAGGUGUAGAGUCCUCCAGAGUCUUGCAACU